GGCGCUAUCGUCUAGCCUGAUUCAGGACGCCGCCCUCUCAAGGCGGAAACACGGGUUUAAAUCCCGUUAGCGCUACCA
rnacentral:tRNA from 1 species